rnacentral:rRNA from 1 species
AACGCUAGCUACAGGCUUAACACAUGCAAGUCGAGGGGAAACGACAUCGAAAGCUUGCUUUUGAUGGGCGUCGACCGGCGCACGGGUGAGUAACGCGUAUCCAACCUGCCCACCACUUGGGGAUAACCUUGCGAAAGUAAGACUAAUACCCAAUGAUAUCUCUAGAAGACAUCUGAAAGGGAUUAAAGAUUUAUCGGUGAUGGAUGGGGAUGCGUCUGAUUAGCUUGUUGGCGGGGUAACGGCCCACCAAGGCGACGAUCAGUAGGGGUUCUGAGAGGAAGGUCCCCCACAUUGGAACUGAGACACGGUCCAAACUCCUACGGGAGGCAGCAGUGAGGAAUAUUGGUCAAUGGGCGAGAGCCUGAACCAGCCAAGUAGCGUGCAGGAUGACGGCCCUAUGGGUUGUAAACUGCUUUUAUAAGGGAAUAAAGUGAGUCUCGUGAGACUUUUUGCAUGUACCUUAUGAAUAAGGACCGGCUAAUUCCGUGCCAGCAGCCGCGGUAAUACGGAAGGUCCGGGCGUUAUCCGGAUUUAUUGGGUUUAAAGGGAGCGUAGGCGGACGCUUAAGUCAGUUGUGAAAGUUUGCGGCUCAACCGUAAAAUUGCAGUUGAUACUGGGUGUCUUGAGUACAGUAGAGGCAGGCGGAAUUCGUGGUGUAGCGGUGAAAUGCUUAGAUAUCACGAAGAACUCCGAUUG